CAGAGGAGCCAAGCGUUGUCCGGAUUGACUGGGCGUAAAGCGCACGCAGGCGGUCGCGCGCGUGGGGUGUGAAAUCUGGCCGCUUAACGGCCAGGCGCCAUCCCAUACGGCGCGACUGGAGUGAUGCAGAGGUCGAUGGAAUUGCCGGUGUAGUGGUGAAAUGCGUAGAGAUCGGCAGGAACACCCAGGGGGAAACCAGUCGACUGGGCAUCUACUGACGCUGAGGUGCGAGAGCGUGGGGAGCGAACCGGAUUAGAUACCCGGGUAGUCCACGCCGUAAACGAUGGCCACUCGGCCUUUGGUGGCGGAACCUCCGUCGCUGGGGGCCUUAGCUAACGCGGGAAGUGGCCCGCCUGGGAACUACGAGCGCAAGCUUA
rnacentral:rRNA from 1 species